GUAUUAACUGCCAAUGAUGGAACAUGUUUCUCUGACUACUGAAUGAUGUCACAAUUUCAUUCGUCACUACCUCUGAGGCAGUUCAUGU